ACGCGACCCCAGGUCAGGCGGGACUACCCGCUGAAUUAA
rnacentral:rRNA from 1 species